AUGACUGAACUGUGCUCUGGCGGUGUGAAGACGUUGGUAUGGACUUCAGUUGGCUGUCUUCCUCAUUCCACAACACAUAAUACAUUCAUCCAUGUAGACCAGACUAUAGUAAACACUGACCCAUACAUCCAUAUAGACCCAUACAUCCAUAUAGACCAUACUGUAAUAAACACUGACCCAUACAUCCAUAUAGACCCAUUCAUCCAUAUAGACCAGACUAUAGUAAACACUGACCCAUACAUCCAUAUAGACCAGACUGUAAUAAACACUGACCCGUACAUCCAUAUAGACCAGACUGUAAUAAACACUGACCCAUACAUCCAUAUAGACCCAUACAUCCAUAUAGACCAGACUGUAAUAAACAGUGACCCAUACAUCCAUAUAGACCAGACUGUAAUAAACACUGACCCAUACAUCCAUAUAGACCCAUACAUCCAUAUAGACCAGACUGUAAUAAACACUGACCCAUACAUCCAUAUAGACCCAUACAUCCAUAUAGACCAGACUAUAGUAACCACUGACCCAUACAUCCAUAUAGACCCAUACGUCCAUAUAGACCAUACUGUAAUAAACACUGACCCAUACAUCCAUAUAGACCAGACUGUAAUAAACAUUGACCCAUACAUCCAUAUAGACCAGGCUGUAAUAAACACUGACCCAUACAUCCAUAUAGACCAGACUGUAAUAAACACUGACCCAUACAUCCAUAUAGACCAGACUGUAAUAAACAGUGACCCAUACAUCCAUAUAGACCAGACUGUAAUAAACACUGACCCAUACAUCCAUAUAGACCCAUACAUCCAUAUAGACCAGACUACAGUAAACACUGACCCAUACAUCCAUAUAGACCAUACUGUAAUAAACACUGACCUAUACAUCCAUAUAGACCCAUACAUCCAUAUAGACCAGACUAUAGUAACCACUGACCCAUACAUCCAUAUAGACCCAUACAUCCAUAUAGACCAUACUGUAAUAAACACUGACCCAUACAUCCAUAUAGACCAGACUGUAAUAAACACUGACCCAUACAUCCAUAUAGACCCAUACAUCCAUAUAGACCAGACUGUAAUAAACACUGACCCAUACAUCCAUAUAGACCCAUACAUCCAUAUAGACCAGACUAUAGUAACCACUGACCCAUACAUCCAUAUAGACCCAUACGUCCAUAUAGACCAUACUGUAAUAAACACUGACCCAUACAUCCAUAUAGACCAGACUGUAAUAAACAUUGACCCAUACAUCCAUAUAGACCAGGCUGUAAUAAACACUGACCCAUACAUCCAUAUAGACCAGACUGUAAUAAACACUGACCCAUACAUCCAUAUAGACCAGACUGUAAUAAACAGUGACCCAUACAUCCAUAUAGACCAGACUGUAAUAAACACUGACCCAUACAUCCAUAUAGACCCAUACAUCCAUAUAGACCAGACUGUAAUUAACACUGACCCAUACAUCCAUAUAGACCCAUACAUCCAUAUAGACCAGACUGUAAUAAACACUGACCCAUACAUCCAUAUAGACCCAUACAUCCAUAUAGACCAGACUAUAGUAACCACUGACCCAUACAUCCAUAUAGACCCAUACAUCCAUAUAGACCAUACUGUAAUAAACACUGACCCAUACAUCCAUAUAGACCAGACUGUAAUAAACAUUGACCCAUACAUCCAUAUAGACCAGGCUGUAAUAAACACUGACCCAUACAUCCAUAUAGACCAGACUGUAAUAAACACUGACCCAUACAUCCAUAUAGACCAGACUGUAAUAAACAGUGACCCAUACAUCCAUAUAGACCAGACUGUAAUAAACACUGACCCAUACAUCCAUAUAGACCCAUACAUCCAUAUAGACCAGACUACAGUAAACACUGACCCAUACAUCCAUAUAGACCAUACUGUAAUAAACACUGACCUAUACAUCCAUAUAGACCCAUACAUCCAUAUAGACCAGACUAUAGUAACCACUGACCCAUACAUCCAUAUAGACCCAUACAUCCAUAUAGACCAUACUGUAAUAAACACUGACCCAUACAUCCAUAUAGACCAGACUGUAAUAAACAGUGACCCAUACAUCCAUAUAGACCAGGCUGUAAUAAACACUGACCCAUACAUCCAUAUAGACCAGACUGUAAUAAACACUGACCCAUACAUCCAUAUAGACCAGACUGUAAUAAACCGUGACCCAUACAUCCAUAUAGACCAGACUGUAAUAAACACUGACCCAUACAUCCAUAUAGACCAGACUGUAAUUAACACUGACCCAUACAUCCAUAUAGACCAGACUAUAGUAACCACUGACCCAUACAUCCAUAUAGACCAGACUGUAAUUAACACUGACCCAUACAUCCAUAUAGACCCAUACAUCCAUAUAGACCAGACUGUAAUAAACACUGACCCAUACAUCCAUAUAGACCAGACUGUAAUUAACACUGACCCAUACAUCCAUAUAGACCAGACUGUAAUAAACACUGACCCAUACAUCCAUAUAGACCAGACUGUAAUUAACACUGACCCAUACAUCCAUAUAGACCCAUACAUCCAUAUAGACCAGACUGUAAUUAACACUUCCUUUCGUACUUGUCUGUGUGUGUGUGUGUGUCUGUGUGUGUGUGGUUGGUUAUUCUGUACAGUCAGCUACACCUUAUUGACUGUGUUAAAGCGUCAUCCUCUCUCCUCCCAGCGGGUUAUUCAGGUGAACUAA
rnacentral:lncRNA from 1 species